GAAGUUCCCUACUAAUCAUCUAUUUAAAAAAAAAGGGCGAAUUGUGGCUUCAUCUACUUUUGACUCUGGUAUCUUAUGAAAAAUGUUGCAAGAAUAGCCAGAAGGCAGUCGGUCUGCAUGAAGCCGGCAUCAGAGAUGUGUUCUCCAUAACAAGUGGUAAAUUACACUAUUGUUUCUGGAAAUCUUUGUAGUUUGAAUACAUCAUUAGGCUGUCUGAUCACCUGUGUGCAUGAUAAAC